rnacentral:lncRNA from 1 species
AUGGGCACUUCCUUGGAGCUGACACCACGCAGCAGGGCGAGGCCAGGAAAGGAUGCCACUAACCAUGGCUCUAGCACGGCACUGACACUUUUCCCCCUCCUCCCACUAUCGCCUAGCGCUGCUCAAGGCGACGGUGACUCAAGCUGGGCAGGGGAGGAAGGGGAAGCAGGGAGGCAGCGCUGUUUUCUUCCUAUCUGCUCGACCGAGGAACUCGGUUUUUAAGCGCUCACGUGUUCGUUCAGCGAAGACUCGGGAAGAACGCAAGGCCUGAGGUAAAACCGCCAGAGCUAGUCACGAAGCACCUGCCCUUGCGGGGAAGGUGUCCCAACCUGUGGUGGCGAGACAGGCAUGCAAGGCUGAAGAAGGGCGAGGACAAAAAGGACAGCUGGUGCUAGUCACAGGGAUAGGGGCAGCUCUGAAAGGGACAAAUAUAUCGAGGCCCAGUGAAUGCAACCUUGCUUCGCGGGGGCCUGUGCCUGUGUGCGGUUUCUGUGGCGCCCAAGGUACAAGCUCCAAUUAAAGCCGUUCCCACAGCUGGGACAUACCUAAAACUGCUGUCCUCCGUGCAUGCUUGAGCGCACUACUAGGCCUUUCUCCUCUACACAGCCCCCUGCUUUUCGGAGAUGUUUAGGAUCUGCCUCACAGUUACCGUUUGCCCAGUUUGGUUGAAAUCAUCUCAUGGAUUUUGAAGUCCUUUGAGAAGCCCACGUACUCACAGAGGCGAGGCCUGAUUUAUUCAGGACACAAGACUAACGAUGCCUAGCAUAAGCAAGUUCACUGUGAAGGGCAACUCUUUCAACGUUUUAUAAUAUUUGAGCAAGGGUGCAUCUAAUAAGCUGAAAAGCAAUACAAACAUAAUUGCAAAUCCGUUUUCUUCUAUAAUGAGUAAUGCACUUUAACAGUACAUUAGAUACAGCAAGUAUCUAAUAAGAUACAUAAGAUACAGCAGUAAACAAAUCUAAUACAAUUUUUAAAGGGAUUAUAUAUUAAUGGGUAUUAACACAUAUCCUUACAUGAGCAAGAUAAAAAAUUUAGGAUGUAACGCUUCAACUAGUACAAGAGGCCUCUUGUACUGUUACCGUUUUACGAGGAUAGAGUUUGUUUCUGCGGUUGUUCAGUUGAGUAUAACUGGAAGAGGCCAUAUGAAAUGGCCAUAUUCACCUCAUUUCACAAGUCCUUCACUGUAAGGCUUACUUAAAUGAGCAUUUUUAGGAGAACUGCUCUGUGGGGCACUCAUUUAUAAAGACAAUGCUGCAGAAUUUGUCUCCAUUAAUGGCACAGAAUUGCUGCCCCUGCCUGCCAAUGUGCAGAGCAUGAAGGAGAAAAUAAUGAGGAAAUAAGCCAACAUAGGGGAAAGAAUUCAGGCCAAACCCCAGGCAUUGAUCAAUAAUGAUUCAAAUGUAAGUGAGUACAACUGCUGACAAGGCAUUUUUCUCAAAUUCCAUCAUUUCCUUAAUGCCAAAUCAGAUUUGCUGAAAUAAAUAAUUUAGGAAUAAAUUCCA